GACGAACGCUGGCGGCGUGCUUAACACAUGCAAGUCGAACGCUGAAGCUCAGCUUUUGUUGGGUGGAUGAGUGGCGAACGGGUGAGUAACACGUGAGUAACCUGCCUCCUUCUUUGGGAUAACGCCCGGAAACGGGUGCUAAUACUGGAUAUUCACUGGUCUUCGCAUGGGGGUUGGUGGAAAGGGUUUUUCUGGUGGGGGAUGGCCUCGCGGCCUAUCAGCUUGUUGGUGGGGUGAUGGCCUAACAAGGCUUUGACGGGCAGCCGGCCUGAGGGGGUGCCCGGUCACAUUGAGACGGACCUGCGGCCCAGACUACUCCGCGAGGCAGCAGUGGGGACUAUUGCACAAUGCGCGCUCGACUGAUGCCGCGUCGCCGAGGGAGGCAUGGAGGCCGUCGGGUUGUGAACCUCUUUCGCUCAUGGUCAAGCCGCAACAAUGGGUGUGGUGACGGUAGUGGGUAAAGAAGCGCCGGCUAACUACGUG
rnacentral:rRNA from 1 species